rfam:Pongo abelii chromosome 17, whole genome shotgun sequence.
ACAAGGGCUUUAUUAAAAGCCAUAGUUAAGAAAUCUGUACUUUUUUU